GUGUUUUAUUUCUGUUUAUGUUUUGCUAGCAGAAACUAGAGUGAAAAGAAUCCGUUGUUAAUCCAGCGAUCUGAACGAAUCUUCAAAAUCUGUGCUUGAUCGUAAUCCAUUGCAGUCAUUUUCCGUUGACGAAGGGCCGGAAUGGAAGUUUCGGCAAGUUCCCGGACAGCAGAAGACGAACAUUUAUUCUCCAAUGUUCGCAAGGACUAGACUCAAGCCAGAACCAGGGAGA